rnacentral:lncRNA from 1 species
CAGAUGGUAAAAUUCCUCAUUCCAGAAUUUCUAGAUUGUUUAAAACUAUUUUCCAUGUGUAGAUGGAGUGAGCAAGAGGUUGGAGAGAGAUCCCAGAGGUUCUUUUACAAAUGGUACAUUUCAUCAUAUUUCUAUUGAACUAGCUUUUUCUUCUCAAGGAGAACCUAGCUCUGCUUCCUCCCUGUGCAGAUCACAGGGGAGCAAGAGCACACGCAUUCGAGGUGGCGCCAUUUUACACCAAGACCAGCUCACAAAAUGGUCGUUGCAGCUCCUUAACCCUUUAAAUGCCAGGGACACCUUCAACCACGGAUCAGGAAGUACCACCGACUGAGUGGUUGGCAGACAUCUCCAAUGAUGUGUAACAAAACAUCGGCCGAUACGCCUUGAGGAUAUCUGAAUCCCACCAGAAGGCUUCAUUGGUUGCUACGGACAGUGUUCACACCAGGGUACACGGUCUGAACCACAGACUGUCAGUGGCGGAGGCGCAGCAGCAGCAGCAGCAGCAAAGUCCCGGUGACGUGCCUGCGCUCGUUCGGGAGGAGUCGUGUUACCGCCCAGUCCGAGAAGUGGAGGAAGCUACUGAGCGGGGGGCGGGCUCUCCAAGACUAUACGAGCGUUGUCAUUGGCUCCGAACAGAUUGUUGUGUAACACGCGAAAACCGUGCAAAUUGUUGCAAUUGCGCAAACAAGGACAAUGGAGGUGGACCGUUACUUAGCGCCACCAUCCGGGACACUGGGUGAAAUUUAACUCACUUCGUGGAAAGGGAACGUGACCUGUUUGGUUGAGCCAACCGUGUGACAGUCCUAAGGAAGGAGAAAGGUAACCUGACGGCGUUUUUCUAGACCCAGUCGUUUCAAAGCCGGAUGAUUUGUGAUUACGAACACUUUGUUCUUUGUUGGUUUCUUAAGCGUCAACAUGUGGCUGAUAAAUCACCAUAUCUGACGGCGAUCGAAGCACACAAGACGACCGUGGGCGCCUGUUCUGGGUGCUUUCCUUUCUGGGGCUCCAAGCCCCAGGAGAUCUUCACAUCUCCUCUCCUCAUCUUCACAUCUCCUGACGAGGCUUGUCACUCUGAGUGCGAAAAGCAUCUUAUUCUGGUUCCUGAUCGAUUGGAAACCAGUUGUUCUUUCUCUCUGAAGUAAAGGUAAGAUCUAUAUCUUAUAAUGCAUUUUUAAAAUCAUUUAAACAAUUUUAUGAUGGGGGAGGGGACAUCUUAACAUCAGUUUUCUCUCAGAUUUUUCUAUUUUCUUUUU